CUUGUGACUGUGUCUGAGUUGGGUUUUUGGUUUCAUCAUCCUUAGGUUGCUUAUACCAAUAUAAAGCUGGAAUGACCUAAAUGCCCACACCUGGGAGUCUGCUUAAUUAGAUAUGCCAGGAGCGGAAAGUUCGAUCACUAAGGUGUGCGAAUUUUCCAGGUGGGUCUGACAAGGGCUUAGAGAAGCUGUCACCUGGCUUGCUCGAUUGUGCUGGGGAGGAGAUAUUUGGAUUUGUGCCUAUCGGAAGCAAAGGAACACCCAGAAGAGAAACACCUGGCCAGGAAUUGUUAAAAAGAAAAUCCCAAUUCUACCUUUGCU